GCGGAUGGAGCUGACGAGAGUCGCAGAUACCAGGUGGCUGCAACUGUUUAUUAAAAACACAGCACUGUGCAAAAUCGUAAGAUGACGUAUACGGUGUGACGCCUGCCCGGUGCCGGAAGGUUAAUUGAUGGGGUUAGACUUCGGUCGAAGCUCUUGAUCGAAGCCCCGGUAAACGGCGGCCGUAACUAUAACGGUCCUAAGGUAGCGAAAUUCCUUGUCGGGUAAGUUCCGACCUGCACGAAUGGCGUAAUGAUGGCCACGCUGUCUCCACCCGAGACUCAGUGAAAUUGAAAUCGCUGUGAAGAUGCAGUGUACCCGCGGCUAGACGGAAAGACCCCGUGAACCUUUACUACAGCUUGGCACUGAACAUUGACCCUACAUGUGUAGGAUAGGUGGGAGGCUUUGAAGCAGGUACGCCAGUAUCUGUGGAGCCGUCCUUGAAAUACCACCCUUGUAGUGUUGAUGUUCUAACGUCGACCCCUAAUCGGGGUUGCGGACAGUGCCUGGUGGGUAGUUUGACUGGGGCGGUCUCCUCCCAAAGAGUAACGGAGGAGCACGAAGGUGGGCUAAUCACGGUUGGACAUCGUGAGGUUAGUGCAAUGGCAUAAGCCCGCUUGACUGCGAGAAUGACAAUUCGAGCAGGUGCGAAAGCAGGUCAUAGUGAUCCGGUGGUUCUGAAUGGAAGGGCCAUCGCUCAACGGAUAAAAGGUACUCCGGGGAUAACAGGCUGAUACCGCCCAAGAGUUCAUAUCGACGGCGGUGUUUGGCACCUCGAUGUCGGCUCAUCACAUCCUGGGGCUGAAGUCGGUCCCAAGGGUAUGGCUGUUCGCCAUUUAAAGUGGUACGCGAGCUGGGUUUAGAACGUCGUGAGACAGUUCGGUCCCUAUCUGCCGUGGGCGUUGGAAGAUUGAAGGGGGCUGCUCCUAGUACGAGAGGACCGGAGUGGACGAACCUCUGGUGUUCGGGUUGUGUCGCCAGACGCAUUGCCCGGUAGCUAAGUUCGGAAUCGAUAACCGCUGAAAGCAUCUAAGCGGGAAGCGAGCCCUGAGAUGAGUCUUCCCUGAUACUUUAAGUAUCCUAAAGGGUUGUCGGAGACUACGACGUUGAUAGGUCAGGUGUGUAAGUGCUGUGAGGCAUUGAGCUAACUGAUACUAAUUGCCCGUGAGGCUUAACCAUACAACACCCAAGGGGUUU
rnacentral:rRNA from 1 species